rnacentral:rRNA from 1 species
GACGAACGCUGGCGGCGUGGAUUAGGCAUGCAAGUCGAACGGUAUCAUCCUUUCGGGGGUGAGAGAGUGGCGAACUGGUGAGUAACACGUAGGUUAUCUACCCUCAAGACGGGGACAACCCAGGGAAACUUGGGCUAAUACCGGAUGUGAGCAACUUUUAGUUGUUUGAAAGGUGGCGUAAGCUGUCGCUUGGGGAUGAGCCUGCGUCCUAUUAGUUAGUUGGUGAGGUAACGGCUCACCUAGGCAAUGAUAGGUAGGCGGCCUUAACGGGUGGUCGCCCACACUGGGAUUGAGAUACGGCCCAGACUCCUACGGGAGGCAGCAGUCGAGAAUAGUCUACAAUGGUCGGAAGACUGAUAGUGCGACGCCGCGUGAACGAUGAAUCCCUUCGGGGUGUAAAGUUCUUUUAUAUGUGAGCAGUGCUUCUUAUAUUAACAGUAUGGGGAGAGAGAUAUUAGCAUAUGAAAUAAGCAACGGCUAACUCCGUGCCAGCAGCCGCGGUAAAUA